rnacentral:tRNA from 1 species
GGGCCUGUAGAUUAGUGGAAGAUCAUUGACUCGCUAAUAACGGGUCAAGCUUACGCUUGGUUCGCAAUCAAGAGGUCACGGGUUCAAUUCCCGUCAGGUCCA